GAGGGCCAGUUGAAGCAGGCAUGUCUUCAUUCCUGAUUUCCUGAUGGCAUGAAACACAUGGCCUGUUCCUAUUGGCACCUU
rnacentral:pre_miRNA from 2 species